rnacentral:rRNA from 1 species
UACAGAGGGUGCAAGCGUUAAUCGGAAUUACUGGGCGUAAAGCGCACGUAGGUGGCUUGAUAAGUUGGGUGUGAAAUCCCCGGGCUUAACCUGGGAAUUGCAUUCAAGACUGUCUUGCUAGAGUGUGGAAGAGGGAAGCGGAAUUCCAGGUGUAGCGGUGAAAUGCGUAGAUAUCGGGAGGAACACCAGUGGCGAAGGCGACUUUCUGGUCUAUAACUGACACUGAGGCGCGAAAGCGUGGGGAGCAAACAGG